UCACAAAAAACGAACAUGGAA
ensembl:piRNA 21ur-1402 ncRNA